CUGCAAUAUGCUACACUUCAAACUUCCUUCUCCAUUAUAUGAUUCUCCGCUCCAUGAAUUGCUUUUAUGAAGCAGCACAAAACCAAUAAAAAGGUUUGUGCAUCAAAACCCAAUAUCUACUGUCCACUACUAUCAAAAGAUUUCUACAAUAUGCUACACUUCAAACUUCCUUAUCCAUUAUGAUCCUCCGCUCUAUGAACCGUUUUUAUGAAGCAGCACAAAACCAAUUAAAAAGGUUUGUCCAUCAAAGGCUCAAUAACUACUGUCCACUACUCCCAAAAG